ACUCAUCACCAAGACCAACGUCGAGGAGCUUACCGCUAUGUUUUCUUCUAGGAGUUUUAUUGGUUUCAGGUCUCAAAAUUUACCGUCAUAACCAUUUUCAAGUGUACAGUUCAGUAGUGUUAAGUGUAUUUGCAUUGUUGUGCAACAGAUCUCCAGAACCUUUUUGUCUUACAGAACCGAAACUCUGAACCCGUUAAACAACAACUCUUCGCCUCCUUGGUUAAGUUAUUCCUGAGUAUUUUAUUCUUUUUGAUGCUAUUGUAAGUGAAAUUGUUUUCUUAAUUUUCUUUUCAGGUAUUUUUCUUUUCAUAUUUUUAUGUGUUGAAGCAGCAGCAUUUUCAUACAUGAGCAUUUUCAUUAAUGCGCACGGGCUAAGGUUUCCAGGGAGUUGGACAGGAAGCCCCAGAGUAGCAUCAGGCAGCAAGACCACCAGCGCUCGCUAUGCAGACAUCUUUUCAGAGGACCCAGACUAACACAUACCCUUUGUAUGGGAAAGGUGGAAAAGGAUUGUUUUGGCUAUUCAAGGUCCCUUGCAAUUCCAUAUGAAUUUUAGAAUCAGCUUGUCAGUUUCUACAAAGAAGUCAGCCGGGA